GUAGCAUUAGUAGUUGAGUACUUCUCUUUUGGAAUAACUAGAAGCUAUUGCUUUGUAUUCUUGAUAUUUGUAACGUCAGCCAAAAAUGAGACAGAAAAGACAAAUUUUACAUCCUAUAAAUGAGAGAACUUGGAACAGGAAGAAAAAAAAAUCGACUCCAUUCAUUUCGAAUAAGAGAAAAUUAAUAACCCUAGAGUCAAAAGGGGCUGAUAUUGAUUCUGCUAUCACAAAACGCUGGUCCUAUUUUAGAGUAUAGGAUUUUAUAUAGCCAUCCUCUUCAUCAUCAUGUAACAUUUAAUGAUCUCCUGGGCUGAACAUAAUGAUUCCGAACAAUCCUGGAACCAAAGCCAUGUCAUCAUCUCAAUACUUGCAAAUGGUCAGAGAAAACAAAGAAUUGUCAGGAUUACCAGUGGAUGGUGAUGUCCAGGGGAAACAUGGAAUACAUAAAUCACUCAUACUAGCCUUUUCAUGUACUGCUAUAGCGGUCCUUAUCAAGCUGGAUCAAGAUAGAGAGAUAAUAUCCUAAUUAUUGCACCUCCCAGCCUAUCCUCUAAAGGAUAAAGCAAGAAAAAAAUAAGACACAGAGAGAAGUCUUUUCUUAAAAUAAAUUUUGGCCACUUCAAGUACUAAAUAUUAGAGAAAAACAAAUACUUGGCAUAGUAUUCAUAUCUGGAAACUGGCUUCUUACCACAAAUACUGCAAACUUAUAAAAAUAGAGCCAUUGAAAACAAAAGAGAUUCAAACUGACAGCAAGUAUGCCUGAUGUUUCCUUGAAAGGCUAUCUCCAUCCAGCAAAGAUAAAUCAAUAUUUUUUGUUCAAUAUUUGAAAUGUGUGAGUAAAGAAAGCAGUGUAGCCUCCCAGCAAAUGUAAAGGAACAAAAAUUUUGAAGUAGAAUAGAUUUAGCAGGCUGUAUAAUAAGUCACAUUCAAGCCAUGUACUGCAUAAUGUCUGCCAAUAUAUAACUACAAUAAUCUACAACAAUUACUACCUUAUAUCAAUGUCCAUUAACUCUAAUUCUUUUAACAAAGCAGUAAUAUGGAUGUUAUUCUGCCUCCCUUACAUGUGAGUAAAUUGAACCUAUUCAAAGGACAUGUAUUCAGAAGCUGCUAUACAUCAGGCAAAAUAUUAGGUGCCAGAGGUGUCAUGAACAAUUCAUAACCUGUCACAGAAUUUUGGGUAACAUCCAUUAAAAUGGAGGGAGAAAGAUAAAAUACAUGAAAACAACUGCAUUUUUAAAUUGCAAACGUGAUAUGUUGUGAUGUAUAAACAGUGUUUGAGAGAAAAAAUUGUAACAGAUUACUUGAUCAUAACUCAAUGCAAACAAUAUCAAAUACUCUGGAAAAAUUGAAGAAAUGGUAUUACAGAAUCAAAGAGCUAGCAAAAGUGCAAGGCAUUAUCAGGAUAUGUAGGGAUAAAAAAGAAGAAAAAAGGAAAGAAAAGAGAAGAAAAUAAAAUACAUAAAAAGUAAAAUGGGAACCAAGGAAGUUACAUGAAUAAGGGUGCUAGUUUUUCAUUACUUCUUAUUUCCAUUAUUAUGUAAAACUAUUAAAAGCAAAGUUAAAAGAUAACUUUUCCCUAGAUGGUUUCAUAGGGCUAGAACAGAAAUCACAACCCAGCACUGACAUGGAAUGAAUAGUAUGACAGGACCCAAAAUCCUAGGAACAUCGAAGACAACAUAUUCAAGAUGAGACUCAAUAAGAUAAGGACUAAUCCUUAGGAAGAAUUGUAACCAGGGCUCAAAAUGCAUCUCAAACCUUGAAUUUGUUUUAAGAUAAAACUGGAGUUCCCGCCAUGGCGCAGUGGUUAACGAAUCCGACUAGGAACCAUGAGGUUGCAGGUUCGGUCCCUGCCCUUGCUCAGUGGGUUAAUGAUCCGGCGUUGCAGCGAGCUGUGGUGUAGGUCACAGACGCGGCUCGGAUCCCGCGUUGCUGUGGCUCUGGCGUAGGCUUUGAUUGGACCCCUAGCCUGGGAACCUCCAUAUGCCACCGGAGCGGCCCAAGAAAUAGCAAAAAGACAAAAAAUAAUAAUAAUAAUAAUAAAAGUCUUAAAAAAAAAACUGAACUAGCACAUCCUUUAGGAAUCUGGGGGAAGCAAAUUAAAAUCCUCCUUGGAGUAAGAUAUUUAUUCAAAUUAUUCCUACAAAUAAUUUUCAUAUGAAAUGACCAGUGAUGGUAAAUGGGAUUGUUUCCGUAAUUUCUCUUUCUGAUCUUUCAUUGUUAAUGUUUAGGAAUGCAGGAGGUUUCUUUGUAUUAAUUUUGUAUCCUGUAAUUUUCUCAAAUUCAUUGAUGAGCUCUGGUGGUUUUCUGAUAGCAUCUUUAAUAUUUUCUCUGUAUAAUAUCAAUGUCUUCUACAAACAGUGACCGUUUUACUUUUUUUUCCAAUGUGGAUUCUUUUCCUUUGAUUACCAUGGCUAGAACUUCCAAAACUAUGUUGAAUAAAAGUGGUGGAAGUGGACAUCCCUGUCUUUUUCCUGAUAUUAGAGGAAACACAUUCAGAUUUUCACCACUGAGAAUGACGUUAGCUGAGGAUUUGUCAAAUAUGACCUUUAUUACGUUGAGGUAUGUCCCUCAUAUGCCCACUUUCUGGAUAGUUUCUUUUUUUAUCAUAAAUAGGUGUUGAAUUUUGUCAAAACCUUUUUCUUCAUCUAUCAAGAUGAUCAUAUGUUUUUAUUCUUCAGUCUGUUAAUUCGGCGUACAUACAAUCUGAUUUGCAAUGAUUUUCAGAUUCUGGAGAAUCCUUGCCUCCUAAGGAUAAAUCUACUUGAUCAUGAUAUAUGAUCCUUUUAAAGUAUUGUUGGAUUCAGUUUGCUGGUACUAUGUUGAGGAUUUUUGCAACUGUGUUCAUCAGUGAUAUUGGCCUGUAAAUUUUUUGUGCGAUAUAUUUUGUUUUAGUCAUAGGGUGAUUGUGGCCUCAUAGAAUGAGCUUGGGAGUAUUCCUUUUUCUGCAAUUUUUGGAAGACUUUCAGAAGGAUAGGUGUUAACUCUUCUUUACAUGUUUUAUAGAAUACACCUGUGAAACCAUCUGGUCCUGGACUUUUUUCUUUUGGAAAUUUGUUAAUCACGGUUUCAAUUUCAGUAUUUGUGAUUGGUCUGUUCAUUUUUUCCUCUUGCUUCAUGGUUCAGUCUUGGAAGAUUUUAUAAGAAUUUAUCCAUUUCUUAUAGAUUGUCCAUUUUAUUGGCAUAUAGUUGUUUGUAGUAGUCUUUAUGAUCCUUUGUAUUUCUGUGGUGUCAGUUGUAACUUCUUUUUCAAUUCUAAUUUUAUUGAUUUGAACCAUCUCCCUUUUUUUCUUGAUAAGACUGGCUAAAAGUUCAUCACUUCUCUUUAUAUUUUAGUUUCACUGACCUUUUGUAUUGUUUUCUUCCUAUUUCAUUUAUUUCUGCUCUAUUCUUUAUGAUUUUCCCUUCUACUAACUUUGAGUUUUGUUUUUCUUUUUCUAGUACUUUAGGUGUAAGAUAGGUUGUUUACUUGAGAUUUUUCUUGUUUCCUGAGGUAAUAUUGUAUUGCUAUAAAUUUCCCUUUUAGGACUCCUUUUGCCGCAUCCCAGAGAUUGUGGACUGUUGUGUUUUCUUUAAUUUUUUCUCUAGUUUUUUUUGUUGUUGUUGCUUUUUUUGUCUUUUUUAAGGGCCACAUCCACUGCAUAUGGAGGCUCCCAGGCUAGGGGUCGAAUCAGAGCUGUAGCAGCUGGCCUACCCCAUAGCCACAGCAGUGUGGGAUCCAAGCAGUAUCUGUGACCUACACCAUAGCUCACAGCAAUGCCGGAUCCUUAACCCACUGAGUGAGGCCAAGGAUCGAACCCACAUCCUCAUGGAUGCUAGUCAGGUUUGUUGACUGCUGAGACACAAUGGGAACUCCU
rnacentral:lncRNA from 1 species